UAAAAUAUACAUAUUCAUUACAAAAAUGAAAUCAACGCAUUAACCAGAAUAAUAAUGUUUAUUUUUUUACUAAAACCUGAAUUGAGACAAACUACAACACUAAUAUUUUUCCCCAAAAAAUAGAUGAAUCAAACUUGGUCUUAUUUAAUUUCUUCUGUACAACUUGACAAAAAUAUGAUCUCCUCACAUGGACCAUAUAUUAAUGAAGUCUAGUUUGAAGGCUAUGUCCGCACCAGCUCAUGAAGCAACUUUGGUGACAUCUUUGGUAGAUCGGUUAUAUUUCACGUGACUCUUAAUUAACAAGCUAUCCAGCUGCAAUUGCAGACAUAAGUGAGAGCUCUCCGGCAAGUAGAUCCAUUCCAUGUUCGGAAAAUUAUAACAGAUUAGAUUACAUAAGCUGAAUAUAGAAUGGAUCUAAUUCGAAGUUCGGCAUAUUAUAACGGAUUAGAUUACACAAAAUAAACUCAAAACUAUUUGAAUGUGAGUAUAUGAAAGGGAUGAUAAAAGUCUAUAACAAAAAAGAUAAUUCAGGAUAACAAAACAGGUUUUUGACACAUAAGGAUGGGUGUAACGAGAGAAAAAUGUUUUUUUUUUUUUUUUUUU
rnacentral:lncRNA from 1 species